GAUGAAUGCUGGCGGCGUGCCUAACACAUGCAAGUCGAGCGGCAGCGAGUUUUACACUGAAUUCUGGAAGCUUCUGGGUAAUAUAGAAGAUCUAUUCAAGAAUUUUGUGUGAAAUGUCGGCGAGCGGCGGACGGCUGAGUAACGCGUAGGAAUUUGCCCCAAAGUGAGGAAUAACUGCCCGAAAGGGUAGCUAAUGCCGCAUACGGUCUUCGGAUUAAAGCCUUCGGGCGCUUUGGGAGAAGCCUGCGUUGGAUUAGGUAGUUGGUAGGGUAAUGGCCUACCAAGCCGACGAUCCAUAGCUGGUCUGAGAGGAUGAUCAGCCAGACUGGAACUGAGACACGGUCCAGACUCCUACGGGAGGCAGCAGUGAGGAAUCUUCCACAAUGGGCGAAAGCCUGAUGGAGCAACGCCGCGUGAAGGAUGAAGGCCUUCGGGUUGUAAACUUCUUUUAUGAGUGAAGAAUAUGACGGUAACUCAUGAAUAAGCACCGGCUAACUACGUGCCAGCAGCCGCGGUCAUACGUAGGGUGCAAGCAUUAUCCGGAGUGACUGGGCGUAAAGAGUUGCGUAGGCGGUUUAAUAAGUGAAUAGUGAAACCUGGUGGCUCAACCAUACAGACUAUUAUUCAAACUGUUAAACUCGAGAAUGGUAGAGGUAACUGGAAUUUCUAGUGUAGGAGUGAAAUCCGUAGAUAUUAGAAGGAACACCGAUGGCGUAGGCAGGUUACUGGGCCAUUUCUGACGCUGAGGCACGAAAAGCGUGGGGAGCGAACCGG
rnacentral:rRNA from 1 species